rnacentral:rRNA from 1 species
GACGAACCGAGCGAACGUUAUUCGGAAUUACUGGGCGUAAAGCGUGCGCAGGCGGUGAUGUAAGACAGUUGUGAAAUCCCCGGGCUCAACCUGGGAACUGCAUCUGUGACUGCAUCGCUGGAGUGCGGCAGAGGGGGAUGGAAUUCCGCGUGUAGCAGUGAAAUGCGUAGAUAUGCGGAGGAACACCGAUGGCGAAGGCAAUCCCCUGGGCCUGCACUGACGCUCAUGCACGAAAGCGUGGGGAGCAAACAGG